rnacentral:rRNA from 1 species
AUUGAACGCUGGCGGCAGGCCUAACACAUGCAAGUCGAGCGGAUGACGGGAGCUUGCUCCUUGAUUCAGCGGCGGACGGGUGAGUAAUGCCUAGGAAUCUGCCUGGUAGUGGGGGACAACGUUUCGAAAGGAACGCUAAUACCGCAUACGUCCUACGGGAGAAAGCAGGGGACCUUCGGGCCUUGCGCUAUCAGAUGAGCCUAGGUCGGAUUAGCUAGCUGGUGGGGUAAUGGCUCACCAAGGCGACGAUCCGUAACUGGUCUGAGAGGAUGAUCAGUCACACUGGAACUGAGACACGGUCCAGACUCCUGCGGGAGGCAGCAGUGGGGAAUAUUGGACAAUGGGCGAAAGCCUGAUCCAGCCAUGCCGCGUGUGUGAAGAAGGUCUUUGGAUUGUAAAGCACUUUAAGUUGGGAGGAAGGGCAGUAAGCUAAUACCUUGCUGUUUUGACGUUACCGACAGAAUAAGCACCGGCUAACUCUGUGCCAGCCGCCGCCGUAAUAC